GGCAGACCCUUUCACCGUGGCCCUUGGGCUGUGGGGCCGCUCAGGGCAGGGCGGGGCCUCCUGCCACACGUGUCACGCGUGUGUGGUGUGUGCCCUGUGUGUCCCUCAGCUGUUCCACACUGACACUGCCGGCUGCAUGGAGGUCAUUCGGGAGAGGAAGGCCCGGCCGCCCACCCUGCCCCAGGCCGGGGCUCAGGCGCCGAGUGCCCAGAGCACCCCAGGCCACCUUCCGAGCCAGGUGACAGCCCAAGGCGCUGCAGCAAAGAGACCCAGGCGGGCAGCGGGCAGGGGAGAC